rnacentral:rRNA from 1 species
UACAGAGGGUGCAAGCGUUGUUCGGAAUUAUUGGGCGUAAAGGGCGCGUAGGCGGCGCAUCAAGUCAGGCGUGAAAGCCCUGGGCUCAACCCGGGAAUUGCGCUUGAGACUGGUGUGCUUGAGUACGGGAGAGGAUAGUGGAAUUCCCAGUGUAGAGGUGAAAUUCGUAGAUAUUGGGAAGAACACCGGUGGCGAAGGCGGCGACCUGGUCCUUAACUGACGCUGAGGCGCGAAAGCGUGGGGAGCAAACAGG